rnacentral:tRNA from 1 species
GUGGAGCUCAGUGGUUAAGAGCACUGACUGUCUUCCAGAGGUCCUGAGUUCAAUUCUCAGCAACCACA